rnacentral:sRNA from 1 species
UGUCUAUAUCCGCAUUUACCCAAACCCCACCCAGACUGCAUUUGCAUAGCAGCGAAAAAACCGGUAUUUUCUAUCUGUGAGUCACAUUC